rfam:Drechmeria coniospora strain ARSEF 6962 chromosome 02, whole genome shotgun sequence.
UCCGGUAUGGUGUAGUGGCUAACAUCGCUCGCUCUCAAAUUGAAAGUUCCGAGCAGCCCAGGGUUCGAUUCCCUGUACCGGAG